CAGGGAUGUCAUAUUCCAUGAAACUUGCUUUCCUUUUAAGGACAAACCUCCUUCUGCUCACCUUUCUCCUCCAUCUUUUCCUUUUACUCCUCCUGCUGAGCAUUUCACUGACACAAAUUUUCCUAUACAUGCUUCCUCUCCUCCCCCUACUUCUGAUUCUCCUGUUCCUGACUUUGCUGAUACUGAUCCAUCUCCCCUUCCUUCUUUCAAUC
rnacentral:lncRNA from 1 species